rnacentral:rRNA from 1 species
CUGACGGAGAAGGUUAGGUCAGCCGGGUGUUGGACGUCCCGGUUCAAGCGUGUAGUCGUGCCUGGUAGGCAAAUCCGCCGGGCUUAGAUGAGGCGUGAUAACGAGUGGUCUUGUACCGCGAAGUGAUUGAUACCCUGCUUCCAAGAAAAGCCUCUAAGCUUCAGUUAUGAAGAGACCGUACCGCAAACCGACACAGGUGGGCAGGAUGAGAAUUCUAAGGCGCUUGAGAGAACUCAGGAGAAGGAACUCGGCAAAUUAGCACCGUAACUUCGGGAUAAGGUGCGCCCUGGUAGAUUGAAGGCCCUCGCGGCUGGAGGUCGAAAGGGUUGCAGUGAAAUGGUGGCUGCGACUGUUUAAUAAAAACACAGCACUCUGCAAACACGAAAGUGGACGUAUAGGGUGUGACGCCUGCCCGGUGCCGGAAGGUUAAGUGAUGGGGUGCAAGCUCUUGAUCGAAGCCCCGGUAAACGGCGGCCGUAACAAUAACGGUCCUAAGGUAGCGAAAUUCCUUGUCGGGUAAGUUCCGACCUGCACGAAUGGCGUAAUGAUGGCCACACUGUCUCCUCCUGAGACUCAGCGAAGUUGAAAUGUUUGUGAAGAUGCAAUCUCCCCGCGGCAAGACGGAAAGACCCCAUGAACCUUUACUGUAGCUUUGCAUUGGACUUUGAACCGGUCUGUGUAGGAUAGGUGGGAGGCUUUGAAGCGUGGACGCUAGUUCGCGUGGAGCCAACCUUGAAAUACCACCCUGGUUUGUUUGAGGUUCUAACCAUGGCCCGUGAAUCCGGGUCUGGGACCGUGCAUGGUAGGCAGUUUGACUGGGGCGGUCUCCUCCCAAAGCGUAACGGAGGAGUACGAAGGUACGCUAGGUACGGUCGGACAUCGUGCUAAUAGUGCAAUGGCAUAAGCGUGCUUGACUGCGAGACUCACACGUCGAGCAGGUACGAAAGUAGGUCAUAGUGAUCCGGUGGUUCUGUAUGGAAGGGCCAUCGCUCAACGGAUAAAAGGUACUCUGGGGAUAACAGGCUUAUACCGCCCAAGAAUUCAUAUCGACGGCGGUGUUUGGCACCUCGAUGUCGGCUCAUCACAUCUUGGGGCUGUAGCCGGUCCCAAGGGUAUGGCUGUUCGCCAUUUAAAGUGGUACGUGAGCUGGGUUUAAAACGUCGUGAGACAGUUUGGUCCCUAUCUGCCGUGGGCGCUGGAAAUUUGAAGGGACCUGCUCCUAGUACGAGAGGACCGGAGUGGACGAACCUCUGGUGUACCGGUUAUGACGCCAGUCGUAUCGCCGGGUAGCUAAGUUCGGAAGAGAUAAACGCUGAAAGCAUCUAAGCGUGAAACUCGCCUUAAGAUAAGAUUUCCCUGGGGACUCGAUCCCCCUGAAGGGUCGUCGAAGACCACGACGUUGAUAGGCUGGGUGUGGAAGCGCAGUAAUGCGUUAAGCUAACCAGU